CGUGACGUCACAAACUGAGCAACUGUCGAGUUUCGUGCGGCUAAACACGAAGAUUCAACGACUGCAGCCGAGCAGUGAUGUUUUAGUUGGCGCGAUAUUUCACAACUUGGUGUUUUCCUCUGAGAUUUUUCCUUUUUCCCCGUGAUUGUGUAAAUCCCAGUGAGAUGAAUGAAAGACUUACAUCCAGCUUGUCCUCCCUGAAGAGGAAAAUUGAUGGGCAGAGACCCAAAGAAGCCAUAAAUUGUGUUCAAUUGAUUUCCAGUAUUUUCGAUGAAGCCCUAACCAAUUCGGAGAUUGAUCUAGCUAUAGACAUUAUCUUUAAUGUAAAUAGUGGGACAAUCGCGGUCCUUUUCCAAAGUAUUCAGUACAACAAGAUGUUCAAGCAAAUCAAUGUGGAGAUCUUUCAGUUGCACCUGCGGAUUGUCCGGGAGCAUCCUGAAAAAAUGUCUAAAUAUGUCACGUCUGUGGUUCAGUAUGCAACAAAAUACAUUAUUGCUGAAAAUGUGAGUGCAAGGGAGAAAGAGUUUUGCAUGCAAAUCAUCUAUGAACUACUCCUGAAAAAGCUCUGUGAAUCCAUAGACUUCCCAACUGUUCUCGACAAGAUUUUCCGCGUUUUCAGUGAUGGUGAUCCUCCAGCAAGAUUGCAUCAGCUAACUUUUGAGGUAGUUGGAUUGAUUUGCAAAGACUUUGCUAAUCACAUUGUGGGCUCAUACCAGCAACGUUUCCAUAAAGCCAUCUUCACAACUCUCGAUAGCCUUCUGCUAAAGAAGGAUAAGUUCUCCCUAGGAUCAGUGGCUGGUGCUAUUGAUGGCCUUAACUGCUACCUUACUAACUUUCCUCCAGAGGGGGAUGAAGCUGUCAGGGAAUGUGAUUAUAUCUACAAUUGUGUCAAGGAGCUCUCAGAUAUUGGGGAAAUUCGUGAGAAGGCUCUGUUUAGAAGUGCUAUGCUCCUCCUAACCGAUCACACAAAUUUACUGGCUGAACAAUUGCUAAGGGAUUAUGUCUUUUGGCAUCAUGCCCUGCAGAAGUGGCUGCAGUUGACGUAUGAAGAUAAGAGAAUCGCAAUAAAUGCCAUAAAUGCUGUACAUAGGCAAUUGGCAACGACAAUAAUAGAGAGAUCAAAGCCUGAAGAUACUGAAGUAUUGCGAUUUUUCUUUAAAUACUUCAAAAGUGUUUUGCAAUCAUCUAAUGCAAAACCACAUGAAAUCCGAAUUGCCAUUCAGGGAUUCGGAUUGAUGGCUGGCCCUUGUCGAGCAGUUGAAUCAAGUGAACAAAUGGAAGUUCUCCUGAACCUGGUAAUUCAGGCCACUGAUCAUUCCUACUUCACAGAGAAGAUCAACAAGAGGGAGCAUAUGGAACAUCUGGGGGAUUUCAUGGAGUCACUCAGUCAAAUAAUGGCUCAUAUGCCUAUGAUCUCGAGAUAUCAAAUCAAUUCGUUAGAAAACAUGAUUAUCAACUUCAUGAAGGACUUUCACUAUCUCUCAGCAGCUCACCAUGCGUUGGUAAUAAAGGCUCUGAUGAACACUUUUCUGAAUUGUUCCUUUCUCGAAGGAUCUAUUUUUCAUGAUGUACUGGAAUCAGUUACUCGUCAGGGAAUCAUCUGGACUUGCAGUCAUAAAUUGAUUUACGAUGCAUUCAGGGAUGAAAAUGCUCAGGAUUGGAAAGAGAAUAUCACUUACAGAAAUUAUCUACCGCUCUGGAAGGGAAUCUUUGCUUCAGGAAAACGUCAACACUUCAAAAAAGUCUCUGAAGCUGUCUAUUCAGCUUUUAUCGCAUCUAUCCAUAAGAUGAUUGGAAAGUUGAAUUUUCAGACGAAAAAGAGAAUGUACAAGGAUGAAAAUGGCAAGGAUGAGGAAUUUACAUUCUGUGAUCCCAACAUUGAUCUGGAUCCUGUAAAACCCAAAGAUUUUCAUUUGUUUUUCAAUCUGAUUGAUCUCUUUCGAGAAGUCGUGAAUGAUCAAUCAAUAGAUCAUCACAAGGAGAAUUUUCUUCCUUGGAUUCAUCCAUUCUGUGAUUUAAUUGUCACCAAUAUCCAAAAGUAUCCACUAGUUAGUGGUUUCUGCAAGCUCCUCGAAUUAGUUCUCGAUGUUGCUGCUAAAAUAGAAUUUUUCGAUGAUGAAUACCAAUUUGAGAGAUUCGAAACUCGAGACAUUGUAACAUAUUUACUUGGAACACUCAUCAGUCGAGCUCAGUUCACAUCGGGAGAUCUUCAAAUCUCGUGCCUUCAAGCUGUUUUGAUAGUUCCCAUUGAGAUUUCCAUUCAAUUUCCAAAGGAACUCAAUGUAAUUCUCAAAAUUGCCUUCGACAUUGGGAAAAGUCUUCUGUGGCUGGCCAAUAAAGCUCUCACCACUCUGUUUCGGAUUGUCAAGAAAUCUUAUGGAACAGAAGAAGUCAGAGAAAUUCUGGAAAAUGUUCUGCCGUGCUUGGAUGUUUUUCUACAGAGCAAGGGCUUCUCCAAUCCUUCUGCUCUCAGUGUCGAAAUUGUGAGAUAUAAAAAUCGACGAAAGAUUCAGAGGAAAAUGCAUCAAGUGGAUACUGACAGCGAAUUGCUCAGAUUCCAAAAACGAAUCUAUGAUUUUAUCGGCCUAAUUGAACCAGAACAUUGCCUGUAUUUGCUGAACAACAAGAUACACACUGCCACAAAUUUAACAAAGUGGGAUACAGGAAGUAGUAUCAAAUUGAAAAUUCAUUGCUCUGAUGUCUCUCCAACUGUAUGCCUCGAUCCUCUACUUCCGCGCAUUUUCCAGUUGGCCCUGUCGUCUAGUGAUCGAAAAGUUAAGAUAAAUGCAUGUGAGUUAUUGCAUGGAAUUGUGCUGUAUAUGAUUGGGAUUCCAGUGCGUAGCCCAAAGAUUUGGACUGAAAUGUGGGGACAGCUGAUCUAUCUGGGCUGUGAUACCGAUGUUGCCGUUCAGCAGAUGUUUGAGCCACUUCUCAUGCAAAUAAUGCACUACAAAGCACAACCAAAUCAGGAUGGAGUCAAUGAACUUCUAAUUGCACUUAUGGAAAAUCUUUCUCAUCCCUCAAAUGCCGCUGUGAGGGAUUUGGCUGCGCGGUGCCUUCGAGAGUUUGUUUCGUGGACACUGAGACAAUCCACUGAGGACCAAUUGAAUACGUCUCCGCUCAAUAUUACUCGAAUUAUGAAUCAAUUAGAAUUCUAUUGUUGGAAUUUCAAUGUGUACUACAGAUUGGGAGCUUCUCUGGCUUUUAACAAUCUCUACAGGAUCCUACGUGAGGACGAGGGUCUUUUAAAUAGGCACUGGAUAAUGUUGGGGUAUCUGUACUGUUCAAAUUUGAGGCUAUGCAUGAAAGAUGCAAAUUUUCAAUGCGAAAAUAUGGCAAUUGAACAGGCUUCCCUUGCUCUUGAUCACAUUGUGCGGGUUCUGUGCGAGAAGAGUGACCUUUUCAGUACGGUCAGUGAGAAGAGGAUGACACCGACAGCUCUGAAGGAGGCAACUUUGAAGGAAUUUGCUCUGUGGAUUUUUCGCGAAUGUGGAUCUCAUAGAAAGAUUUACCGAGCAAAAUGCAUUGAGAUUUUCAUGAAGAUUGCUCCUUAUGUGAAAGAAUACAAUUCCACAAAGAAAUUCAUUACAGCUUGUAUUUCUGCAGAAGAGAUUUUGGAAGUUUGUGAGGGAAGGAAAGGCAAUGAGGGAAUUGGUCAAUAUCCAGAUCUAACUCACAUUACAUCAUCGGACGUUUUGUCUGUGAAGAUGAUCUAUGAGUAUCUGGAGACCCUUUUGACAGAUCUGGACAAUCAAAUAUGGCUCCUUGGGGGUGAUUUAAUUCAGCAUCCUGACAAGAUUGUAAAUCAAAGCAAAAUUUUCCAUGCCAUUGAGUAUUACUUGGAGAAUAUUUGCUGGAAAGGUGAAGAUGAAAUUUUUGUUCAUUUGAAUAUUGAUCUCUGGAGUGAAUCUAAUUCCAAUGAAAUGGACAUGGGAGCAAAAUUUAUUCAUCAAAUUAGAGAUAUCAAGGCUCUAUUGUCUGCCAGAUUAAUGGAUUUCUUCACAAAAGUCGUCCAAAGCUGUGGUCGUGAUUUUCCAUCGAGUUUCUGGAGGCGAGACAGUCACAUUGUAAGAUUUGUCUGUGACUUGAUUUUCCAGCCACAUGAACUGGGAUUAAAUUUUCGCCAUAGAGAAAUUGAAGAAUCCCUACCCACAAAAGCUGAAAUGGUCCUAAUGAGACUCAAAAGGGACACUUCCAAGGAAUUUAGUGAGGCACUCUCUGGAAAGAUUGUCAAUGAAUUUAUUGAGAGGCUGAAGAAUAUUACAGAGACUAUUGAGAGUAUCGUGGAGAGGAAUUCCGUGAAAUCUUCGGAAUAUCGCUCAGUUCGAGGUAUUUUUAUCAUCUGCAAGUAUGUUCAGUUAUCUUCCUUCCCCGAAGUCGCACAAAAGUCUUUCAUCUAUUUAGUUGAGAGAUUGGUCCUGUACCUCUUCAAGGUUAUCAAACAAGUUAAAAAUGAUGAUUCAUAUCCCAGGAAAAUAGCUCAUGAUGUUGAAAAAUAUCUCAAAUUAAUCCUGUCCAUUACUUUCUUCUGCGAAGAGACUCAUUCGAGAGUGAUCAAGUUUCUCUUUGACGACACUCCCCUGAAGAGCAUUAAUGCCUCCGAUAAAGGAUUUAUAAAAUACGGAGAGUACUUUCUGGAAGUUUAUCGAGAUGAACUUCUGGCCAAUCUUGUAAGUACAAUGGAUUUAACAAUAACAACAAUUAUUAGAGCGCUAACUCAGCCGAAACUUCCGACUGUAUGUCGCUUGAUAAUUCAGCUGUGUAAGUUUAUUUUUGACAAAAUUCAUGAGAGAAGCAAUGCAAAAAUCUUAGUUGAUGCAAUCAUCAAUUCCUGGGAUAUAUUCAGAACUUCCUUCUCCCAAUGGAAGUUCUCCUACAAACUCGCAGAUCUUCACAAAAUUGAACUCAUUUCCAAUAUCGCCAUGAUCAGUCCGUAUCCUCUAUGGGGUUUGGCCACGAAACUUCCGGAUUUGGAACACUGGAUCUUGGAAUUAAUCACUGACCGAGAUAUUUCAAUGGAAAUUAAGAUUCAUGUCCUAGAACUUCUGCCAACAAUCACUGGACCAAAUGACGUCUCCAAUGAGAAGCUUACAAAUGCUCUUAGGGCUUUUCAGGCCAAUCACUUACCACUGAUCUCUUCGGAGUUCAAAGCUGAAAGUAUGGAACGUGCUAGCUUAGUGGUGACCUUCAGGACUAUUCUGGAAGCUCUAGUGGCUUCACAGUCUCCGAUUCUACUGCGAUUUCUCAUUGAUGCCACUGCCGGAGAUAAAAAGCACGUGAUGGAGUACGAAAUUGGAGUGCACCUAAAGAAGUGCAUGCAACAUAUGCAGGAAAAUAUACAAGUGGAGUGUUUGCAGCUCUCCUUUGAUGGUUUCUGCAACUUACAACAUGAACCCAGUAUUCGACUGAUCGUAAGUCGUAGAUUUCUCAAAACUCUUAUAAGAGCUUCUACCACAAAGGCUAUAAUCACUUUCUAUGAGAAUAACAUUAAGAAAGUUGUUGAUUUGACUGAGACAAGUUUUGGACUGGAAGGUAAAGGAUGGGUAGUUGAGCAAGCACUCGUUAGUAGAGCUGGGGGCUAUGAAUUGAUAGAGUGCCUAUUUAGUAUGGUUGAUAGAGAAUUUCUCGAGACAAUCAGUUUUUCAUUGCUCGGUACUCCAGGAACUGAGAUUAUCAAGCACUUAACUAAGAAGGCUUUCAAGGUGAGAACGGAAAUUUUUCGCACAGAUGAUGAGACUGCAAUGGAAUUUUACAGGAAAUAUCAAUGUCAUGCUUAUUCAGCCCUAUGCACAAUCGUAAGCAAUACCCUGGAUCAAUUGAAAUUUUACGAGGGGUUGCUAUUUAAAGAGAAUGCUGCAAAGAAUGAAUAUAUCUGGCAGAGAAUUAUCAAUUGCAGAGAUCCAAAGUUGUACAGCAAUAUUGAACAGGAAUUUCCUGAUUAUCCAAAAGUUAAGGAUUUGAUGGUAUCUAUUAAGAGAAGUGCUAAGAAAAGUGAUGCGGACUAUUUAAAAUUUUCCCAUACUAACAACGUUUUUCUGUCAUCGCUGAGUCAAGAAGUAACAAAAUUUGACUUUACUCAUGCAGCAAUUCGCAAUGCUGAAGAUGUUGCCAACAAAGACACUGAGAAAGAACUGGCGAGCGUACAGUUGGAGAAUGUGGACAUUAAUAAGCAUGAGCUCAUGGCAACUCUGUGUGCAUUAAUCAAUCACAUGUUUGAGAACAAGAUUACUCCAAUUCCUGAAGGAUCAGCCACAGGAAGAAGGUCAACUCCAGAAUGGGUACAAUCUAUUGCAAAUAGUAUUUAUAGUCGUCAGGAGCAUAAGAAUGUGAGGAUCUUCCUCUGUAAAUUGGUAGACAAUUGCCGAGAUGUUUUCAAACAUUACUGUUCUGUUCUCAUGGCUCCUCUAAUGCAAUUCAUUGUGGAUGAAUGUGCUGGAAGCAAACUAAAUUCCUUCAUCACUGAUCUAGUAGCUCUGAUCCUCGAAUGGAGUGAGAUUUAUCUGCCUACAGCUUGCGAUGAAGCCAGUACGGCAUCAGAUAUGUUGGCUUUCCUUAUGAAAAAUUCCUAUCAUGUCCGUACUGAGAUCUUUAAGCUCAAUCUAGACUUGAUCAAUAGACUCGUGCAGCUCUGGAAGGGAUUUGUGAGAAUUCAGAGGCAAGUACUCUAUGAUCUCAUAAGGCAGACAAACAGCACGGAUUCAAGAGAGAAUAUCUGUGGUCUUCAAUUGAAUGCUAUUGUUUUAUCCAGUGAGAUUAUUCCAUGGGAAGAAUCCAUUAAGAUCAACUACUUGAGGGCUCUUUUCUCAUGUCUGGACAAUGAUUUCAAAAGUGUCUAUCAAACAGCAUCCCAUUUGUUGGGAAUGUGCAUCAAACAGAUCAACCCUGAUGGAGAAAUUGAUGAUAAUGUUUGUUCGAAGGAGCUCAAACAGAAAAUUGAAAUGAUCAAACGAACCAGCGAAGAGAAGUUCAUCAAUGUGAUUUAUGGCAUUCAGAAAACCUAUCCUAAGAUAUUAAAACCAUUCAUGAUCAUCAUUGCUCACUUGAUUCCCAAUGCUUUUGGAUCGAAGAAGAAGAUUUGCCUAGAGAUGUUCCUUUCCGGAAUGGAUACUUAUGGAAAUACUAUUUUUCGGGAAUUGAUUACAAUGGGAAUCCGUGAUGUUCUGAAGCAGAAUGAACAUCAACUCCUUGGACUUCAUAUAGUCAAUAAGGCAUUGAGUGAUAUGAAGAUAUCAGAGAUUGAGCAGCUUUCAAGUGAUCUUCUGGUCUUUACUGAUCACAGAAAUGCCGAGUGCAGAGAUCUCAUAUAUGAAAUCUUAAUACAUAUUGUAGAGAUGCUGAAUGAAAGGUCAGAACAGGAAAGUGAAUUGUACAGAAGUGUCCUGGCUGCACUUCUAAAUGGAUUAUCUGAUGAGGACAGUGACAUUCAAAAUCGCAUCUUCACCUUUUGGUCAAAUGAAAAGAACUUAUCUCAGAGGUUGAGUGAAAGAUUUUUGAGCAUUAUGGAAAAUUUGUAUGAUCCAAAGUCAGAAAAGCACUUCCUAGAAUUUGCUACUCAACUCCUCCUCGAUCUGCCAGUUCACAAUCACAAUUCGAAAGAGAAACUCUUCAUAAAUCAAAUUGAGGAUAACUAUAAAUUCACAGAAUAUGAGUUGAACAUCAGUUGGCGCUCAAAGUCCAAUCAAUCACUUGUGCCUCUUUUUGUGGAGUCUCAGCAACGUCAAGUGAUUGUUGGUAGUUCCCUACAAAUGGGUAGAAUGCUUAAGGCAACAGCGAGUGCAGCAGAGUUUCAACCAACGCAAGAACCUUCAGCGAUAGCCAGAAUACCAGAAACUUUCGCCCUAGCAACUCCCAACUCCUUGCUGUUUUCUCUUCCACCGCAAAUUCUAGACAGGCAAUCCCGGCAUAUUUCUAAACCCAAUGAAUAUGCCCCAAAGAUCUCUCUGAGUAAUCUCAGGAAGCGCUUCAUUCAGGAUAAAGAGAAGUCUCACAAGGAAUAUGCACUGAAAGCGAUUGAAAAAAAGCGUGCAGAACCACAGCGACGAAUUAAUCUAGGACGUGCAAAAGAAAAUGAAGUAGUACUUUAUCGCAGAUACAGAUUUGGGGAUUUCCCUGAUCUGCUGAUCAAUUGCUUGGCUCUCUUGCUGCCUCUUCAAGCACUAGUAAAAAAGGAUGCAAUUGUUGCUCGGCAUAUCUUCAUGUCGCUCUACAAUGGUAUCAUUUCCAGUGAGGAAGUCAAUCCAACAGCUUUCCGAGAAGCUGUGAGUGCGCAUAUCAAUAAGAUUCUCAACACAUCGAGGAACUGCGAAUCAAUAAUUUUUGCCACGCUGAUGGAAAUGGGUCUAAGUGAUCCCAUCAUCUUCAAUUUUGCUCCUGACAAUGUGGCAAUGUCAUCAAUUGUUAGCAAUAUGAUUCCCAGUGCUGCUCUCUACAUUGAAUCCUGCCUCGAUUUCCUAAUUCAUCAAAACAAUGAGGCAUCUCAAGAGAGUAUGAAGCAGAAAUUGUGGCUGAAACUUGCGGAACUAUAUCAGAAUAUUUCUGAGAAUGAUGUAGUAUCGGGAAUUUUCUCAGAUAAACUCAACACAGAUUCACAGCUUACAAAAGCCAUUGAUUAUGAAAGUCAGGGAUAUUUGCUCAAAGCUGAAAAGAUCUACAGAAAUCUCUUGCAAUUCGAAGACAAUAUCGAGAAUGAUUUUUGCUACGAAUCCAUAUUCAAUUGUUACAUGAAGAUGGGAAAUUGGUCAGGACUGGCAACAAUUGGUAAAAAUCAAAUCGAUGACUGGGAGGAAUUGUGGACAGAUGAAUGGAGUCAUGAAAAACUUCUGCCGUGUAUUAUAAAGUCAAAUAUGCGAUUGAUGCUGGAGGGAAAACUUGAGAGUCAGGAAUUUAUAAAUGUCCUGGAGGGAUGGCUUCAUGCCCCCGAGAAAGCUGGUCUCCUCAGAAUGAACUAUUCCGAGGAGAUCAUCAUGUUUCAAGUUGCCAAUAAGGACUAUCGUCCAGCAAGAGUACAGUCUGAGCAGAAUUUGAUUUACUUUUUGUCUGAAUGGGGCCACUUGAGCACCUUGUCCGACAAAUUACGAUCUGAGAAACUUUUUAAUCUCAGACGUGUAGCUGAAAUUCAUCGAUGUAUUGAGAUUCUACUGAAUGAUGAGUACGCGGGAAGGGUUGAGGGUCUUCUGACUCAAUGGAAAAAUUCAUCAUUAACUCUCAAUGAUUCUCUGAAGAUGUGGGAUUUUCUAAUUGCCUAUCGAACAUUCUUUGGGAAUGUCUUGAGGAAAAAUUAUACGAAUGUAGAUGAAUGCAUUUCUGAGAUGAAACUCAAAUUUAUUGAUACGGCCAUUCAGCAGAAGAACUACCAAUUAGCUUUGAGCAAUCAUCAAUCUCUAAGAAAUUCUGAGAUUCAGUUUGUUGGAGAGGAAAAUCUCACAAAACUGACUUUGAUACAGUGUAAGCUGAAGAAUUUAAAGAUGGAACGACGUCGCCCAACGGAAACGCUCGAUGCGUAUCUCCAGUCAUCGCAGCAAAUCCAUGACAUUGCAAUUUCCGACAAAAUGAAGGAAUUCAGUGUUGAUUUCCGGCUGCAAAUUUACAGUGAACUAAGUGAAAUGUUAAGGAAAGUACUGUCGAAUAUUUCUAAAGUUGAUAUAGAAGACAAUCAUAAGGACUUAAUAAUGCAAUUAACACCAGGCAGCAGUGCUAGUGAUUUGGAAAAUCGAUUGCAACAGCAGAAUCUUUUCUGGUUCAUUGAAAGCGUCAAAGUUGCCGAAGAGAUUUCUGGUUCAUCUCAUAUGGACAAUAAAAUCCUCGGAAAUGUCUACUACAAAUUAGGCAUUUUCUGCUACGAUCGCAUGGAAAGCAAUGUUUCAGCAUCGCUGGAGAGGAAUUUUGUUAAAUCAGUACUUCGUGGUAUGAGCUACAAUUCCAAGGAGGCCAGGAAUCUUUUCCCAUCGCUCCUCGAAAUGAAUUCUCUCACAAAUGAUUCCCAAAUUUCUGCGCUUUUUGUCAACGAAAGCAAGAAGGUGCCCGAAUGGAUGUUCCUCAAUUGGGUACCUCAAAUUCUGGCCAGAUUCAACUUUGACAAACCCUGCUAUCUGGAUAAGAUCCUUCUGAGACUUGCUAAAAUGUAUCCAGCAGCCAUCGUUUACUCAUUCACAAUGUCCUACAGUCAGUAUGUUGAAGCACGCAAAACAGUUUCCGUAGAUCGGAGUGUAGUGACAAAAAUCCGCAGUCUAACAAACAUUCCUGGGGCUAGACAGUUCAUAUCGGCUCUCUCUUGUCUAUGUAUGCCCAAAUUGAUGCUCUAUUCGCAUUUGGUGGUUUUUUCAAAUGCUCUAGCUACCGAUAGUAGCAUAUCAAACAUCAAGAAAAACAAGCACAUCGAUAGUAUCCUAAGAAACGUUUUUCGUGACGGUGCACAAAAUUUGCAAGGAACUGCAUUUAAGCAGUUGGAGAAAUAUCGUACAAUCGUUGAAGGUUUCAAAAAUGACACCGUAGGAGCUAUCCUUGCAACCCUGUCUGAAGUACUGAAAGGUUUAAGAGAUGAAAGUGAUCGUGAAACGCAGGAAACAAUCGAUAUGGAAAAGCUCUGUCCGUGGAUGGUAAACUUCAAUCCUACCGAGGAAAAUAUGAUUUUGGAAUUGCCAGGACAAUAUCCAGGAGAUCAAAAGCCUUUCGUAGAGAAUCAUGUUAAAAUUGCCAGAUUCCACCCCAAACUCCUCAUUUUUCAGUCUCUGAGGAAGCCCAUGAAGUUAACUAUAACUGGGACAGAUGGGAAGCAUCAUGAUUACUUAGUGAAAUAUGGUGAAGAUUUGAGGCAAGAUCAGCGUAUACAGCAACUUCUACAUCUCAUGUCUACUAAUCUGCAACUCGAUGAACAUUGCAAAAAUCACAAUCUCUUUGUCCAAACUUACCAGGUCAUACCAGUUUCUCAUUAUUGUGGAAUAACAACAUGGGUUCAUGAUACAGUCAUCAUGAAAAACUUUGUGAAGAAAUCCAUGAAAUCUUUUGAUGUGGCUGUGGAUGGUGUUAUUAGGGAAUUCAGAAAGUUCUUUAACUUCACCGAUGGCAGAUUUUACAUCGAUUAUGGGAAUAUGGUAACCAGAAAUUCACGAUCGAAAAUUGGAAAGAAAUUCAUGGAAUUGGAGCAAAUGAUUCCGAGAGAUCUGAUUCGGAAAGUCUUCUGGGACAUAAGCGUAUCACCUGAGUGCUUUUUUGUGCUACGCAAUAAUUUUGCCAAAAAUCUCGCUACCAUGAAUAUUGCUCACUGGAUCCUUGGAAUUGGCGAUAGACAUCUGGGGAAUGUUCUGCUGAACACACAAAGUGGAUAUCUGGUGGGAAUUGAUUUUGGAAUGGUUUUUGGUGGAGCUACAAUUAAUCAAACAAUCCCUGAACUUAUUCCUUUUCGUUUAACACCGAAAAUGAUCAAUGUUAUGAGUCCUUUUGGUGCAUCUGGACUCAUGAAGAAGUGCAUGAUUCAUGCUCUAAGAUCCUUCAUAAAUUGCCGCAAGACGAUCAUGGCUUGCAUGACGGUGUUUAUACAAGAACCAACGAUGGAUUGGAUGGCUGCGGCGAAAUUUGAUGUGGAAGAUAGUUCGACUGAAAUCGUACCAUGGAACAGUCGCAAGAGAAUUGAGAUUGCCAAGAAGAAGCUUCAUGGAGCAAAUCCCAAAGCUUUGAUUGCCGAAGAACUGUCAAUGUCGGUGAUAAGGGAUUCGGAUUAUGUCGAUGGAUACAAAAAUAUCCUGGAAGGUGAUGAAGAAACAAAUUUGAGGGCUCAACUUCAGGACUCAAAUCUCUCUGCUGAGGAACAGGUUUCAUGCCUUAUUGACUUGGCUACUGAUCCAGCAGUGUUAGGCGUGUGUUAUAUGUAUUUCCUGCCCUGGAUUUAAACAAGUAAUAUUGGACAAUUAUUUCGCUAUUAUUAAUAAAUGACGUGUAUAGCGAGGAAUUGUGGGAACAAACAUGUGGACAAUAUUCCAGGAAUUACAUUUCACAGAUUUCCGACCAACACAAAAAUGACUCAACAGUGGGUUAAACUUCUUGGUUUAGGCGAAUAUUACAAAAUCAAGAGAAACAGUGACAAGGUCUGUAGUAAACAUUUUCGGGAUGAAGAUUUCUAUGAGAAAACUUAUAAGGAUAACAUCACCAGAAAAUAUCUGAAACCCAACGUCUUGCCGCAGGAACAUAUUACACUAAAGAGAGCCUUAGAGUCAACUGCAUCCUCUGGGUCGACCUUUAAGAAGCGUCGCCGUCGGUUGAAGAAAAAACUUGGUGAUACUGAAACAGCAUACAAAAAAGAUCAUCAGAAAAUUAAAAACCUUAGGAAGAAGGUAUGCGGGCAGAAAAGGAAAAUUAAAAGUCUUAAAUCGCUUCUUUCUGAACUUCAAAAGAAAAGACUACUGGACCAAUGCGCGACAGAUACUUUAGAAAACAUUGCGAGUCCUAUCAAAAAUACUUUUAAUUUGUUGAUUAAGAAGACAGAGGGCCAAAAAGUUCCGCGUGCCUAUCAACCAAUUAUCCGACAGUUCUGUUUGACCCUAGAUUUCUUGUCCCCAAGGGCAUAUAAAUAUGUCCGUCAAGUUUUCCAAAAUACACUGCCAAAUCCAAGUACACUUGCCUCUUGGUACAGAACAGUCGAAGCAGAUCCUGGAUUCACUAAGGAGUGCAUGGAUGUACUUAGAAAGUUUGUGGAAAAGGAAAAGGAUCAAGAUCGUGAAGUACAUUGCCAAUUGUUAUUUGAUGAAAUAUAUAUCUUUUCUCAAAUACAAAAAGUUGGUACUAAGGUGUACGGGUAUAGUUCAGUGUCAACUCACGGAAGGACUCUGAAUGAACUAGCUACGCAGAUUCUGCAGUUCAUGAUAGUUGGAAUUAACGGUUCAUGGAAAAUUCCAAUUGGGUAUUUUCCCAUCCAUUCAAUGACUCGCGAAGCAAAACAAAAUAUUGUGGAGAGAGCCAUAAGAAUCAUGGAAUCUGUAGGGGUUUCUAUUCUCGGGAUAACUUUCAAUGGGGCCCCAGUCAAUAUGGCUAUAAUGAGGCUAAUGGGUGCAAAAACCGAUCUUGAAGAUCCUUCAUUUUGUGUAAAAAUCAAAAUAGAUGAAGAAAACGAGGACAGUCCUGAAAAGUCAUAUUUCAUUUAUCCAGAUCCUGUGUACAACAUAAAAUUGGUACGUAAUGUUUUUGGAGAAAAGUUAACAUUCUAUGAUGCAGACGACGAAAUUAUCGAUUUUAAAUUCAUAUUGGAAUUGCUGAAUCUCCAAGAAGAAUGUGAUUUUAGUGACUUGACAAAACUUUCAAACACUCACGUCUACUUUAAAAAAAAGAAAAUGAAUGUAAAAUUCGCCGUACAAUUGCUCAGUAGAUCUGUGGCUGAUUGUUUGGAUUAUUUUCGUGAUGAUUUGGCAUUGCCUCAAUUUAUUGGGAGUGAGGGUACAAGCAAAUUUAUAAGAAAAAUGAAUAACAUUUUUGAUUUACUAAACAGCAGUAAACCCUCAAAUGAAGAAUUUAGGACUCCUAUUUCUGAGGACAAUUUGGACAGACUCACUGAAUUUUGCGAAAAUGAGAAGAUGUACAUAGGUAAUUUACAUUUUAAAACCACUUAUCAUGUAAUUCAACGAACAAAGCAAGAUGAAGGAGUAAAAAUGACAACCGAGGAAGUCAUAAGUAAAGAAAAGUUAGUAGAUUCAAGUAUUAAGACAGGGUUCCUCGGACUUUACAUUGCUUUGCAUAACUUACCAAAAAUGUUUCAAAAAGUUCAAAGAUCUGUGAAAAUGACGGGUCUUCGAACAUACUUCUUAAACCAAGAUGCAAUUGAACUUUUCUUCAACUCUAUAAGGACACAGCUGAGAUCCAACACCAGCCCUACCGUUUUGCAGUACCGUGUCGCAUAUAAGAAGUUGUUAACUUAUGUACAACUUAGAGAAAGCGACAUGGGAAACUACGUCCUUGGAGUUGAUGAAAAAAAAAUUUUGCAAAUAAGUCCAAAAAGAUGUCUUCAACAAAUUAAUAAAAUAUCAGAAGAAUUAAGUAAGGAAGAAAAUGGAGAACAAUUCUCAAAUGAUACAGAAUUCGAAAAUAUUAUAAAAUCUCGUUAUGAGGAAGUGAUUCUGGAUAAAGACGACUACAACCAAAUGUCAUCUUCACAAUUUGAAUGUGAAAAUUUGCCCUCUAUAGACGAAAUUGAAAAGUCCAUUAUAAAUUUAAUUGCUUCACAAUUGAUUGUAAAAUUGGAGGAGAAAAUUAAAUGCGUCGAAUGUUUUACGGAAUUGAUUGGACAAGUAGAAGAAAUGACUGAAGUCAAAUUUUCAAAGCAUCCCUCCCCUUUUACAAUUUCUAUUUGCGAGCUAUCUGAAAAGUUAUUUAGAAGUCAACUAAAUGAACAUGGGAUACACAAAAUCCUUGAAGAAAACUUGGAAAACACUAUUAUUUCCCGUGUUAUUACAGAAGUGGAAGUGCCGUCUGGACAACACUUUGAUCUUGAAGUGACACACAAAAAUUAUUUAAUAGAACUCAUAAGUAGCAUGUUUUUGAGAACUCGAAUAUUUCACCAGCUACGUAAAAUAAACGACAAUGACUCAAUCAAGCAUCAGUACAGAUAACUAGUACACUUUAUAAUUUAAAAAAAUAUAAAAAAUUUGGUAUCUAUUAAUUUGUGUAUGAAAAUCAAAUAAACAUAACAAAAAAAUAAAUUAUAGUCUAA